rnacentral:sRNA from 1 species
CCAUAGCCCCGAUAGUAGCGGCAUCCUUUUUUGUUUUUUCGGUCGGUUUCUUUUGGAUGACAAAACGUGGAAAAACAAAAAAGAUAUAGCGGAUAGCGGGAUUUAGC